rnacentral:snoRNA from 13 species
AGCCUGUGAUGAGUCGCUCUUUCUGACACCUCGUAUGACAGCUGCUCCUGCAGCCUGAUUACGCCGCGAAGCUGAGGCUU